UAGUCCCACUGUUUAUAUGCACGGUGGAGACCCUUUAAAUUUGUUUCGCAUAUAACAAAGAGGAAUAUAAAAUGGCAUUAGAUGCACAAACUAAAGCAGCCAUCAUUAAAGAAUAUCAAACGGCUGAA
rfam:Bermanella marisrubri strain RED65 1100007010779, whole genome shotgun sequence.